rnacentral:rRNA from 1 species
UGCGACCUCAGGUCAGGCGGGGGGCUAAU